rfam:Dipodomys ordii contig_742, whole genome shotgun sequence.
GGUGGCUCAAUGGGAGAGUGCUUGCCUUGCAUGCAUGAGGCCCUGGGUUCGAUUCCCCAGCACCA